rnacentral:rRNA from 1 species
GUGAGGAAUAUUGGUCAAUGGGCGGGAGCCUGAACCAGCCAAGUCGCGUGAAGGAAGAAGGAUCUAUGGUUCGUAAACUUCUUUUGCAGGGGAAUAAAGUGCAGGACGUGUCCUGUUUUGUAUGUACCCUGAGAAUAAGGAUCGGCUAACUCCGUGCCAGCAGCCGCGGUAAUACGGAGGAUCCGAGCGUUAUCCGGAGUUAUUGGGUUUAAAGGGUGCGUAGGUGGUUUGAUAAGUCAGCGGUGAAAGUUUGCAGCUUAACUGUAAAAAUGCCGUUGAAACUGUCGGACUUGAGUGUAAAUGAGGUAGGCGGAAUGCGUGGUGUAGCGGUGAAAUGCAUAGAUAUCACGCAGAACUCCGAUUGCGAAGGCAGCUUACUAAGCUACAACUGACACUGAAGCACGAAAGCGUGGGGAUCAAACAGGAUUAGAUACCCUUGUAGUCC